AAGCGUACACGGUGGAUGCCUAGGCAAUCAGAGGCGAUGAAGGACGUGCUAAUCUGCGAAAAGCGUCGGUAAGGUGAUAUGAACCGUUAUAGCCGACGAUGUCCGAAUGGGGAAACCCAGUGCAAUUCGUUGCACUAUCGUUUGAUGAAUCCAUAGUCAAACGAGGCGAACCGGGGGAACUGAAACAUCUCAGUACCCCGAGGAAAAGAAAUCAACCGA
rnacentral:rRNA from 1 species